UCCCCUUUCCCCUUUCCCCUUUCUUUCGUCUUUCUCCCCUUUUGCCUCCCCUUUCGCCUCCCAAUCUCCGAACUCCUUGAACUCCCUUCUCCAGACGACGACGAGGUCCAUCAGACGAACAACCACCGUCGAUCUCUGAAAAUGCUGUCAAUCGUCUCCCAACGUUGUCUGUCACUGCCAAUCGUCACCCACUGUCCAUCUUUGGAACCAAGCGCCCGCCGUCGACGUCGGAGACAUUUACUAAGGAAAUCAAGGCCAAAGGAGAUGUCAUGGCUAUGGGCUGAAACCUUUUUCGCCUAUUUGCUUACUUGGAAUCUGAAUCUGUUCAUCGUGUUUUCUCCGUCUUCUUGUAUCGUUGUACACUGCCGCUUUAACGCCGGUGUAAUUUUUCGCUAGUGCAAUCCGAUUUGAGAAAAUAUAUUUUUCUUGAGUUAUGCUGAUCAAUUACGUUUUACGACGCUUUGAUCACGAGGAAAUUGGAGCAGGAUUGAUGAAGAGGAAAAGUUUAUCUUCAUUUUUAUGUUAUGCUGAUUUGUCCUUCUUGAUGCUAUACUUCUUAGAUGUGGUUCUGAAGGAAAAGGAAAAAUAAUUUGUGGCUUGAAGCAGUAAUUCUUCUAUAAUGUUUGUAUCAUUGUGUUCGUGUGCCCGUCUGUGUUUUUGUUUUAUAAAAAAUAUAUACUAGCUUCACUAGUCAAAAUCAAUAUUGUACUUGUUUGUUCAAGAUAUUAUUAGACAGAAAUGGAAAUUUUGAAGUCUCGAAACAUAGAUUACAAAAUAUGUCCACUCGAAAUUAUAAUUAGAUAUAGCCAAAAACUUCAUGUAAUUAAAACUCUUGAAAAUUUUUAAGAAGCUUGAAAGCGAUAUGUACAAGGUCGUGUGUGGUCAAUGUGAGACUUGGUUCAAAUCUGUUCAGUUAGUUUUAUUUUGCCAUCUUAGAAUUACUAUGACCUUGUGAUAUGACUAUUGUGGAAAUAUACUGUCAAAGGUAUGCUAUGGACGUCAAUGUAGAGAGGGCUGAAGAUGUUCUCAUGCACAAAAAUCUUCUCUAUAUGGCACAUAUGUGCAAUUGACAGUAUAUUGUGGAAAUAUACUGUCAAAGGUAUGCUAUGUUCUCAUGCAUGAUCCUGCUACUCGACCUGCAAUUGACGUCCGUCUCGUACAGGUUCAUUCAUCUCCUGGCAGGAACUUUGGCAAGUCAGUUAAUUGGAGCUUGAAGGAAAAAGUGGACCAGGAGCGGUUUUCUAGUUAUGACAGCAAUCAGUGAUUCCUCCAUGUCACUUUAAUAAGAGUUCAAUGGCCCCUUCUGUUCUUAGUCCAUCCUUCCCCCCCCCCCCCCCCCCCCCCCAAACUUUUUCUCGGUAAAUCGGAAAAGGUUUCGUUCUUUUUUUUCUUGGAAUUAUUUAACAUAUGUUGCAUGUGGAUUGGUUAACAAUGAAACAUUUAUGUAUGCCCUUGGUUCUCAAGCACCAUCCCAAUACUUUCAGGUCCAAUGCAUGAAAUUACAAUAUCAACAAUUGACAAGCCGAAAUUGCUCAGUCAGAGCAGAAAUUACCUUUUAGUUGACGUCCUUACUUUCUGAGAUUGGGCUGAAUAUUCAAGAAGCACAUGCUUUUUCAACAACAUAUGGCUUUUCCUUGGAUCUUUUUGUAGUUGAUGGUUGGGUAAUUGAGGACACCAAGCAGCUAAAAGAUAUACUGGCAGAAGAAAUAUCAAAGAUUCAGGUUAUCAAGGUAGCUGAUUUUGGUGUUGCUAGAGUGCUAGCUCAAUCUGGUGUGAUGACUGCCGAAACUGGAACAUAUCGUUGGAUGGCUCCGGAGGUUAUUGAGCACAAGCCGUACGAUCAUAAAGCUGAUGUUUAUAGCUUUGGGAUAGUGUUGUGAGAGCUGCUUACAGGUUCAACUGGAGUCCACAACUUCAUGAGUUUUCUUUCAAAGAACAUUUUCAGAGACGAACAUUCUCGGUUGGUCGUUUAUGCUUCUGCAGAAAAUCUUGUCAAAUAUAUUCUAAUGCUAUUUAAAAUAUUUUUUGAUUAAGGGCUAGUAUUCCGUACAUGUGGAUUAUUGAAACUUAUAUUAAGAUGUAUAAAUAUUAUAAAUCGUAUUAUAGUGUAUAUAUAUUAAAGUGUUGGCUAUUUUUGUGUACAUUGGUGUGAAACUUGUAUAAUUUCAAAUUUGUCAUUCUCAGCUACAUUAUUGUCAUUC